CACACCGCCCGUCACAUCACGAAAGCCCGUUGUACUAGAAGCCGGUAAUGCAACCGCAAGGAGCUAGCCGUCCAAGGUAUGACUGGUGAUUGGGGUG
rnacentral:rRNA from 1 species